rnacentral:rRNA from 1 species
AAAAUCAACGUGAAGGGAAACGAGUUUGCCCCCUGAUGUUAGCGGCGGAGGGGUGAGAUAACACGUGGGAUAACCUGCCUUGCUAAGAGUGGGAUAACUUCCGGGAAACCGGGGCUUAAUACCGGAUGGUUGUUUGACCCGCAGGGUUAANACAUAAAGGGGGCUUGGCCUACCACUUUAAAGAUGGACCCGCGGCGCUAUUAGCUUGUUGGAGAGGUAACCCCCCACCAAGGCCACGAUGCGUACCCGACCUUGAGAGGGUUUUUGGCCACACUGGGACAUGAACACGCCCCAACCCCUACGGGAGGCAGAAAUAGGGACCCUCCCCGCAAUGGACAAAAGUUUGACGGAGCACCCCGGGAGAGAGAUAAAGGUUUUCGAACCGAAAAGCUCUGGUGAGAGAGAAGAAACAAGUCCCUUUCAAACUCGGGCGGCCCCUCUUCCGGCACCCAAACCAAGAAAGCCACUGCUUAACAAACGCCCCAGGCAGCACGUGAAAAAUCCGAAAGGGGGGCAAAGCCGGUCUCCCAGGAAUUUAUGGGGCCGAAAAAAGGGUCCCCCAGCGCU